UGGGGAAUAUUGGACAAUGGGCGAAAGCCUGAUCCAGCCAUGCCGCGUGUGUGAAGAAGGUCUUCGGAUUGUAAAGCACUUUAAGUUGGGAGGAAGGGCAGUAAGCGAAUACCUUGCUGUUUUGACGUUACCGACAGAAUCAGCACCGGCUAACUCUGUGCCAGCAGCCGCGGUAAUACAGAGGGUGCAAGCGUUAAUCGGAAUUACUGGGCGUAAAGCGCGCGUAGGUGGUUCGUUAAGUUGAAUGUGAAAGCCCCGGGCUCAACCUGGGAACUGCAUCCAAAACUGGCGAGCUAGAGUAGGGCAGAGGGUGGUGGAAUUUCCUGUGUAGCGGUGAAAUGCGUAGAUAUAGGAAGGAACACCAGUGGCGAAGGCGACCACCUGGGCUCAUACUGACACUGAGGUGCGAAAGCGUGGGGAGCAAACAGG
rnacentral:rRNA from 1 species